AGCUUGUCCUGCUGACAACCCCUUCGUCCUCAGCCGAAGCCCUCACCAUGACCAUGUGAGAGGCGCGUCCACGGGCUGUGGCUGGGCUCCAGUGCUCAUGGGGUAAGCCGGUCAGACUCAGGAGCCACAAGGGGCUCCUUCAGGACGAUGAUGUGAACUUGGUAAAUAAUCGUCAACUCAAUGAAUGGACGCAAGAAGCCUGGGAGAGGGUCCAGGUGUCACGUGGAGAAACAUGAGCGGACAACGCGGACCUGUCAAGAACAGGACACCCUCCCCAGCAGAGACACGGCGCUUUCUCCUAACGUGAAAGAUGACAGCAGCUCACCCUCACCCUCCCCCACGGACCUGGAGUCACUGCAAGACCAGAAAGACGCUGAACUGGAUCCAACUCAGCGUGGCCACUUCUGCCUCUGACACCAGGCAAGAUGCCCACCCUCUCUGAGCCUCACACCCCCUGUCUGCAAAACGGGAAUGAAAGCAAUAGUGUGAUGGAAGUGCUCAGAAUGCAACAGACUCUCAAGAGGAGGCUGGGUCCCCCACCUCCCAGGGGGCACCGCGGUCCUCAGACACCACGGACCUGGGAUUUCCAGCACCGACAUGAUGCUAAGUGAUUCUCAAGUCCUCUCCAGUUUACAAAGAUGCACUCGAUUCGCACACAGGGUCCUGGGCUGUUCACCCGUGAAGUCCCUCUGCAAUGCCGUGGUCCCUGACCAGCAGGCGGCAGAUGGGGGUGCCAGCCUCCCGUGGGGAGCCUGCUGGGUGGAGGGAGGGCAGCAGCCUGGAGAAGGGGGCAGCAGCUCAGGCCCGCGUCUGCCUCUGCAUCCCCCCACAUUGCGGCAGUGCCAGGCCACCCGCCUCACACUUGGAAACCACACGCGCAUCAAGCCAAGGGCAGCAAGUCAUCUGUUCUGUUCAAUCCCUGGACGGCAUGAGCUCAUUCUCAGCACCAGAACACCGGCUUCCACGCCUCGGGGGCCGAGGGAUGGAGGGUGUCCAGGCCCUGCUCAGCUCCAUCCUCGAUGAUCACAGAGCGUCUGGCAGUGAGAGCAACCGUAACUAAUUGGUUGUUUCCCUUGCCUCUUUCGAUAAAAAGCAGGAGAAGGAGAUGUGAUUUCACGUGGAACAUGAAUCACACACAUCCCAGAGCUCAACACCCUGGCCGGGAGGAAGGCCUUGCUCUGUAUUCUGGAGUGAGUGCUGCCCCCACCGAGCACAGAGCCUUGGUUCUCACUCACCCGGGACAGUUACCUGGAAGCCGGCCGUUUGGAGACCAGUUACACCACCCUGCUCAGCUCCUGGGAAAUGUCCUCAUCAAGCAAACAGGCUGCUUGCAAACUUGGGCUUCACGAGUUGCAGGGGAAGCGGUGGAGGAGUGGUGAGUAAAUACCAGGGCGUCACCCAGGACACGUGCCCUGGACAGAGGACAGACAGGCCUCCCCAGGGGACACAGCGCUGCCUGUGAAGAUGGGGGUGGCUGGCCUGUACCAUGGAGUCACCUCCACGUCCAAGCCCCAAGACCCUCGUGACUUUCAGGGAGGGGAGCAGACACCAAGGCUCCCCUCCUGCUCGAAGACGGCCAGGACAGGUUGGGGGAGCGUGCACAGCCUCACGUCCCCGGCCAGCACCCACCUGCCCUGAUCGGGCGGGCCCGCCUCCAGGCCUGAGGUUCCCUGAGCACCAAACACCAGCAAAUCCCACAGCACACCGCCAGGGAUGGAGUGGCCAAGGUGGGCGCCACGAACUGUGGAGUCUAACGGGACCAGAUUCGCCACCUGGAAUUCGUUUUACAGAUGCAACAGCCUACAGAUCUAUUCUUGGCUUCCAAACAGAAGUUCCAACAAGAAUGUUCUUGCUCUCCGCUAAGCAUCAAAUAAGGAACUGUUCAGGAAGCAGGCCCACUCUGAGGAUGAGUGGUCCUCAGGGAGGCACCUGCAGGCCCACUCCGCAGGUGUUUUGGGUGGGCACUGACCCCCGGGGCUUCGUGAAUGGGGGACCUCACUGUGAGGGGGUCAGGCCUGUGAACCAGCUUUCCUGUUACCUGGAGUCAUGGUUCCAGUCACCAGCCAGAGUGGGCUAAACGCUACCUGAGGACACACCACGUUGUCUGAUAGUACGGCGGCCUCUUCUCAGAGAGGAUAGCACCGUCUGUGUUGAGAAAAAUACCCCAGACUUGGAGAUCUGGCCAGAGAGCGUGAGGUGAGACACCACGGUCAGCCUGUCCCUUUGCCCAGCCCCCGGCCUUCGCCUGGGCCCAGCGCCCUGUGGGUCACAGAGUCGGGCUGCAGAGUCACUGUGGGCUCAGAGCUUUACUGGCAAAGGGGCAAAUAACUUCCUCCCACGAGACACUGAGGGGCACACGCCAGCUUGUACCCGGCCCUGCACACACACCCCUCAGCGGCUGUGGACACCCAGGUGCUCAAAAAGCUCUUGGAGCAGCUUACCUCUCUGAUUCCCUCGUUAGUGAGAGAAUAAAUAUUUGACACUUGUUCAUUCUGCAUCUGCGUGAGAGUCAGGUUUUGAAAUUUUUAAAACUACAGCGUGUCACGCCCACAGAGAGACAAACCGCACCAGAGGCAGCCUGGGGUCAGGAGCCUGCAGAGAUGGGCCUUCCGGCUCUGCCGACCUCAGGAAAUGAACCCAAGUUUACGCACUGGUGUCUUGGCUGCAUGGGGACGGCCUCACAGGUCACCACUCGCCUGGCCUGUCCUUGAAGGUGAUACCAACUCCACAAGUGUUAAAGCAGCUGGUCCACCCCAGGGGCUCCCGUGGCUACUGGAAACGUUUUUGAUCCUCCUCAGAGGAAGAUUUCUAGGUGUCCUCAAGCUCUCACUGAACCAGGUUUUUUUUCACUAAUAAAGCAAAGUUCAUCGGUUUGUUUAAAGGUCGAGGCUCAGACCAGCUCAUCCAGGAAACAGGCCUUUGUCUGCACCUCACCUGUGUUCAUAAUCCCAGAUUCAGUUUCUGUCCGCAGGUGGUGGGCUCAGAACUGAGGCUGCACACGACUCCGGGGUCCUCAGGCGGCCUCCCCCAUGAUGCUGUUCGACGAGCCUUGGAAGGCAGAUCAGCCCGAGACACCCAAGCGUCACCCUCCCUGCUUCCUAUAGCUGCACAAGUUCUGGCCAUGAAGGAGCGACCCGAGUCCCCACAAGGGGAGCCGCUGGCAUGAGUCGGGAGGAGGCUCGGGCUGCAGCUCAUCAGACGGUCAGCAGGGAGGAGCCACCUGGGGCUCCACCUGGCCCACCCGCCUGGGCACUGAGGGUCCUGUCACCAAAGAGGGGGACGAGCUCGGGGGUGCCACUGCUGUCUCGUCAUGAGCCCUCCUUUCUGUCAGCUGAACGAUCAGUGACACGGCAGGCCUGGCACCUGGCCAGGCGCCCACCCCUGGCCUCAGCAGAGACCGAGUCAUUCGACUUUUCAAAGAGCCUGAUGCUGUUACAGACAGAGCCACCCAGUAACUCGGCCCAACAGACAGGCAGCCCUGAGCACCUCUGAGGCUGGGCGCGACUGGCCAGAGACACUGGCUCAGGCAGCACCACACGCUCAGCCUCCUCAACACCAGGGAGGCUCCUCCUCCAAGCACGAAGCCUGGGAGGGUCUCACAGCCUGGCCUCCGCAUCUGCAGAGGCCCGUCUCUCUGCACCCGGCCCUCCCCAGUGGCAGGGGCUCCAACAUUCGAUACUCACGGGCUUGUUAUAGCAGUAACUCGUGCUUGCGGCGAAGACAGAACAGGCGCAGAGAUGCAAGAACACGGUAAAAACAGGCCAUCCCCUGCACCCUGCACGGGCAGCCGCGGUCAGCCACAUGUCCCAGGCACGUGGCAGCCCACGGGCACAGGCAGCUGGGGUCAGCCACACGUCCCAGGCACGUGGCAGCUGUCAGCCACACGUCCCAGGCACGUGGCAGCCCACAGGCACAGUGAGCUGCUGUCAGCCACACGUCCCAGGCAUGUGGCAGCCCACAGGCCCAAGGAGCCACAUCCCCUCACCAACGGGCUCCGUGCCGCUGCAGCUGUGCGUGCGCAUCCAGUGACCUGGGCAGCAAGCAGAGGUCAGGCCACAUGUGUCACUACACUCCAGGGAGGUGCCAGCUCCAAGCCCUGCUGCCCAGCACGCUGAAAGCCGUGGGAACCUUGAUGUUUCAGCAAACGGCAACUGAUGGUCAGUCUUACAUGGAGACUUGGGGAGUCACAGAAGCAGAAGGUGGGAGGCUAACAGGGAGGGUCCCGGGCCCCGCAGAGCCCGCAACUCAGGCCAGAUGGAGGGGGCCCUGUGUCCCCAGCUCAGCCCCCUUGGAGGGGGCUCUGCGUCAGAUAGAGGGGGCUCUGUGUCCACAGCUCAGCCCCAAUAGAAGGGGCCCUGUGUCCCCAGCUCAGCCCCGAUGGAGGGGGCCCUGUGUCUACAGUUCACCACCGAUGGAGAGGGCUCUGUGUCCGCAGCCGACUCUCGGCGCCUCACGCCCGCACCCACCUCCCUUGCCCCUUCCUGCCCUGUCCAGGCCCUUCCUGCUGGCUGCUUCCCGCCAAAAGAAGCCACCACUGACCCUCCCAGGAACAGUCUUCUCACGGUUGCUCUGCCUCAACUUAAAAUCAGCUUGCAGUGUUUUCAGACCUACUUGGUUAAGAAAAUCUGCUUGGGAGAUGAGUAGAUAUGAAAAGGAGACUUCCGAUCAGGCUUUACAAAAUCCGAGUCUUUGUCCCAAUGACAGGGUUAUACAAGUCCUCCUGGAGCUCUACAGGGGAAUGAGUAGGGGCUCUGCCCUGAGCCCUGAGCCCCACGGCCCUGCCAGUGCCAGUGCCUGAGAAGGAAGCCCCAUGAACUGUGACUGCACGAGGAGGUCGCUGCAGCAAACGGAGACCUUUGCGUCUGGGAUUCAGAUCUUUAGAAUACAGUCUAAGCCAGCUUAUGUAGUUUUCUAACAAAUACCUUAUCAGCCAGAAAGGAAAAACAAUGUUCUGAACAGAAGCUAGUGAUCCGCAAAUUCUAAAAAAGUAAACUUUCCUGUUGUGGUGUGUUUAUCUCCACCUCCGGUACAACGGCCCUUCUGUUAACGGACACAAGGGGCAUCUGUGGCAUUCCAUCUGCCCGGCAACCUUGCCCUUUCAGGGAGGUCUGCGUGCCUGCGGGGCAGCUGAGCACACGGUGCCAGGGCCACUCAGGCCAAGCGGACGCAACCCCGGAGUCGCGCGGCUUUUCGGGUUUCAGGACAGCACCGUCUCGCUGCUCCCAGAGGACACGUCACCGGCUGGCACAAGGGGUCCGGCACCGCCAGAGCACAAGGUCAGCACCGGCCGGGACUUCUCAGGCACCCAACCAAUGGGCUCCACACACAGCCACACUGGCCCUGGUGGGCAUGCCUCUGAAUCCGGGAGUCCCGGCAGCUGGCCCAGGGGGCCGCCCUGGGCCCACGCUGCAUCCCAAACAGGUGCAGGGCAUGUGCUCCAGCCCACGAGGCCUGCGGGUUGGGGAGCUGCCUCCCUCCUGAGCGCAGCGUGGUUGCCGUCCAAGAGCCACGGCCUCCGCGUACUCAGCCCCAUGAGGUGCCUCUGGUGAGCGAAGCCCCGAGCGGCUCCUGUGCUAGAGCUGAGUGCACAGACGCCCCGGGCUGAACCAGCGUCUGCUGAGCAGCAGCAACCCCUGCAGCCAGACACACCAACAAGGAGACCGCAGCC
ensembl:lncRNA